rnacentral:rRNA from 1 species
UACGUAGGGUGCGAGCGUUAAUCGGAAUUACUGGGCGUAAAGUGUGCGCAGGCGGCCGCGCAAGUCGAGUGUGAAAGCCCCGGGCUUAACUUGGGAAUUGCGCUCGAAACUACGUGGCUGGAGUGUGGCAGAGGAAGGUGGAAUUCCAGGUGUAGCGGUGAAAUGCGUAGAGAUGUGGAGGAACACCAGUGGCGAAGGCGGCUUUCUGGUCUGUAACUGACGCUGAGGCGCGAAAGCGUGGGGAGCAAACAGG